rnacentral:rRNA from 1 species
CGGGAGCAAUCCUGGCGGCGAGUGGCGAACGGGUGAGUAAUACAUCGGAACGUGCCCAAUCGUGGGGGAUAACGCAGCGAAAGCUGUGCUAAUACCGCAUACGAUCUACGGAUGAAAGCAGGGGAUCGCAAGACCUUGCGCGAAUGGAGCGGCCGAUGGCAGAUUAGGUAGUUGGUGAGGUAAAGGCUCACCAAGCCUUCGAUCUGUAGCUGGUCUGAGAGGACGACCAGCCACACUGGGACUGAGACACGGCCCAGACUCCUACGGGAGGCAGCAGUGGGGAAUUUUGGACAAUGGGCGAAAGCCUGAUCCAGCCAUGCCGCGUGCAGGAUGAAGGCCUUCGGGUUGUAAACUGCUUUUGUACGGAACGAAACGGCCUUUUCUAAUAAAGAGGGCUAAUGACGGUACCGUAAGAAUAAGCACCGGCUAACUACGUGCCAGCAGCCGCGGUAAUACGUAGGGUGCAAGCGUUAAUCGGAAUUACUGGGCGUAAAGCGUGCGUAGGCGGUUAUGUAAGACAGUUGUGAAAUCCCCGGGCUCAACCUGGGAACUGCAUCUGUGACUGCAUAGCUAGAGUACGGUAGAGGGGGAUGGAAUUCCGCGUGUAGCAGUGAAAUGCGUAGAUAUGCGGAGGACACCGAUGGCGAA